rnacentral:rRNA from 1 species
UAACCCGGAUUAGAUACCCUGGUAGUCCACGCCCUAAACGAUGUCAACUAGUUGUUGGGGAUUCAUUUCCUUAGUAACGUAGCUAACGCGUGAAGUUGACCGCCUGGGGAGUACGGUCGCAAGAUUAAAACUCAAAGGAAUUGACGGGGACCCGCACAAGCGGUGGAUGAUGUGGAUUAAUUCGAUGCAACGCGAAAAACCUUACCUACCCUUGACAUGUACGGAAUCCUGCUGAGAGGUGGGAGUGCUCGAAAGAGAACCGUAACACAGGUGCUGCAUGGCUGUCGUCAGCUCGUGUCGUGAGAUGUUGGGUUAAGUCCCGCAACGAGCGCAACCCUUGUCCUUAGUUGCUACGCAAGAGCACUCUAGGGAGACUGCCGGUGACAAACCGGAGGAAGGUGGGGAUGACGUCAAGUCCUCAUGGCCCUUAUGGGUAGGGCUUCACACGUCAUACAAUGGUCGGAACAGAGGGCAGCCAACCCGCGAGGGGGAGCUAAUCCCAGAAGACCGAUCGUGGUCCGGAUCGCAGUCUGCAACUCGACUGCGUGAAGCUGGAAUCGCUAGUAAUCGCGGAUCAGCAUGCCGCGGUGGAUACGUUCCCGGGUCUUGUACACACCGCCCGCCACACCAUGGGAGUGGGUUUUACCAGAAGUAGUUAGCCUAACCGUAAGGAGGGCGAUUACCACGGUAGGAUUCAUGACUGGGGUGAAGUCGUAACAAGGUAACCGUA